GCCCCCCAGACCCCGAGAGCCCGCAGCUCCAGCCCGGCGGCGAUGGCGCGGAGCGUGCGCGUGCUCGUGGACAUGGACGGCGUCCUCACCGACUUCGAGGCCGGCCUUCUGCGGGGCUUCCGCCGCCGCUUCCCUGAGGAGCCGCACGUGCCGCUGGAGCAGCGCCGCGGCUUCCUGGCCCGCGAGCAGUACCGCGCCCUGCGGCCCGACCUGGCAGUAGGGGACGCGGGGUCCCCACUCGGGCAGGGCCCAUUCGCUCCGUUCCGCGGGUCUCCCCCUUCUCUGUGAAGUGCGCAGAGCUCUCACCCUGGAACCCGCGAGCAGCGCACCCUGGGGAGGAGCCUUUGGGCGCGUGCCCCUGACCGAAGCCCCCUCCGCCCCUCUGAGCUCGGGCCCGGAGCCCCCGGGAGCCUGCCUGCGAGUCCUCGCGGGAACGGGAAGCCGGGACCCAGAACUCUUGUCUUUCAGGAUAAAGUGGCCAGUGUGUACGAAGCCCCGGGCUUUUUCCUGGACCUGGAGCCCAUCCCGGGAGCCUUGGACGCUGUGCGGGAGAUGAACGACCUACCGGAGUAAGGAGAGUGGGGGCAGGCGGAGUCCUGGGCGGGCUCCUGGCUCCCGGCGGUAACCACGUCCUUCUCCGCAGCACGGAGGUCUUCAUCUGCACCAGCCCCCUGCUGAAGUACGACCACUGUGUGGGUGAGAAGGUGUGGCUGCCCCGCCCCUACUCCGCAUUUGGAGCUGCCUAAAUCCUGAUUUUAAAAAGAAACCACCAGAAACCCAGAAGUACCGCUGGGUGGAGCAGCACUUGGGGCCCCAGUUCGUAGAACGAAUUAUCCUGACAAGGGACAAGACGGUGGUCUUGGGGGACCUGCUCAUUGACGACAAGGACACAAUUCGAGGCCAGGAGGAGACCCCAAGCUGGGAGCACAUCUUGUUCACCUGCUGCCACAAUCGGCACCUGGUCCUGCCCCCGACAAGGAGACGGCUGCUCUCCUGGAGUGACAACUGGAGGGAGAUCUUAGACAGCAAGCGAGGAGCUGCGCAGCGGGAAUGAGCGGGGAUGCGGCGGGCAGCAGCUGGAGCUGAAGGAACGACAGCCCCACAGGGGCCACCGCAGAGCCGAGUCGGGGCGGCAUCGUGCUGGUGCCUCUGGCCCCGUGGGGUGGAGCAGGCAGAUACCAUUAAGCGCUGUGCUGCCGGGCCCCAGGCCCAGCCACCCGGUACCUCCGAGAGGCUGUCCCUGGACCCUGGCUGGCAUGGAAAUACAGUGGGAAAACCAGUCGGGACCUUUAAUAAAAGACCUUGGCUUUCUA
rnacentral:sRNA from 1 species